rnacentral:Y_RNA from 1 species
GGUUGGUCUGAGUGCAGUGGUGUUUGCAACUCAUAGAUCACAACCAGUUACAGAUUCCUUUGUUCCUUCUACACUUCCACUGCUUCACUUGACCAGUCUUUA